rnacentral:rRNA from 2 species
GUUGAUAGGCCAGAUGUGGAAGCCCGGUAACGGGUGGAGCUGACUGGUACUAAUAGGCCGAGGGCUUGUCCUC